UACGGGGGAUGCAAGCGUUAUCCGGAUUUAUUGGGUUUAAAGGGUGCGUAGGCUGUGAGGUAAGUCAGCGGUGAAAUGCCCCCGCUCAACGGGGUGAAGUGCCAUUGAUACUGCCUUGCUGGAAUGCGGAUGCCGUGGGAGGAAUGUGUGGUGUAGCGGUGAAAUGCAUAGAUAUCACACAGAACACCGAUUGCGAAGGCAGCCUGCUGGACUGUAACUGACGCUGAUGCUCGAAAGUGUGGGUAUCAAACAGG
rnacentral:rRNA from 1 species